CCCUUAGAUGUCCUGGGCCGCACGCGCGCUACACUGAUGCAUUCAACGAGUUUUACCUUGGCCGAGAGGCCUGGGCAAUCUUUUAAACCUGCAUCGUGAUAGGGAUAGAUUAUUGCAAUUAUUAAUCUUGAACGAGGAAUUCCUAGUAAACGCAAAUUAUCAAUUUGCAUUGAUUACGUCCCUGCCCUUUGUACACACCGCCCGUCGCACCUACCGAUUGAAUGGUCCGGUGAAGCCUCGGGAUUGUGGCCAGUUCACUUUAUUGGGAGUUGGCUGCGAGAACUUGUCUAAACCUUAUCAUUUAGAGGAAGGUGAAGUCGUAACA
rnacentral:rRNA from 1 species